GCGCACAAGUCACAAGUAGACAUUUGAAUUGAGUUCCGGCACUCGAAGCGAAAUAUUCGCCGCGUUGCUGGACGGAAGAGUCCCGACGUGCGGA
rnacentral:rRNA from 1 species